AUACGAAGGGGGCUAGCGUUGUUCGGAUUUACUGGGCGUAAAGCGCACGUAGGCGGAUUGAUAAGUUAGGGGUGAAAUCCCGAGGCUCAACCUCGGAACUGCCUCUAAUACUGUCAAUCUCGAGACCGGAAGAGGUGAGUGGAACUCCUAGUGUAGAGGUGGAAUUCGUAGAUAUUAGGAAGAACACCAGUGGCGAAGGCGGCUCACUGGUCCGGUACUGACGCUGAGGUGCGAAAGCGUGGGGAGCAAACAGGAUUAGAAACCCUAGUAGUCC
rnacentral:rRNA from 1 species